AUUGAACGCUGGCGGCAUGCCUUACACAUGCAAGUCGAACGGCAGCACGGGAGCAAUCCUGGUGGCGAGUGGCGAACGGGUGAGUAAAGCAUCGGAACGUGCCCAGUCGUGGGGGAUAACGUAGCGAAAGCUACGCUAAUACCGCAUACGAUCUGUGGAUGAAAGCGGGGGACCGUAAGGCCUCGCGCGAUUGGAGCGGCCGAUGUCAGAUUAGGUAGUUGGUGAGGUAAAGGCUCACCAAGCCGACGAUCUGUAGCUGGUAUGAGAGGACGACCAGCCAGACUGGGACUGGGACACGGCCCAGACUCCUAGGGGAGGCAGCAGUGGGUAAUUUUGGACAAUGGGCGCAAGCCUGAUCCAGCAAUGCCGCGUGCAGGAUGAAGGCCUUCGGGUUGUAAACUGCUUUCGUACGGAGCGAAACGGCUUCCACUAAUACUGGGGGCUAAUGACGGUACCGUAAGAAUAAGCACCGGCUAACUACUUGCCAGCCGCCGCCGUAAUAC
rnacentral:rRNA from 1 species